rnacentral:rRNA from 1 species
GAUGAACGCUGGCGGCGUGCCUAAUACAUGCAAGUCGAGCGAACAGACGCGGCGCUUGCUCCUCUGUCGUUUGCGGCGGACGGGUGUGUAACACGUGGAUAACCUCCCUAUAAGUCUGGGAUCACUUCGGGACACCGGCUCUUAUACCGGAUAAUAUCUUGCACCGCAUUGUUCAAUAGUGAAAGACGGUUUUUCUGUCACUUCUCGAUGGUUCCGCGCCGCAUUAGCUUGUUGGUAAGGUAACGGCUUAUCAAGGCGACGAUGCGUGGCCGACAUGAGAGGGUGAGCGGCCACACUGGAAGUGAGACACGGUCCAGACUCCUACGGGAGGCAGCAGUAGGGAAUCGGCAGGCAGGAGCGAAAGACAGAGCGAGAAACGCCGAGGGAGGGAGGAAGGUCGUCGGAUCGGAAAACUCUGCUAUUAGGGAAGAACAAAUGUGUAAGUAACAAGGCACGUCUUGACGGUACAUGAGCAGAGAGGCACGGCUAAAUAAGUG